GACGAACGCUGGCGGCGUGCUUAACACAUGCAAGUCGAACGGAAAGGCCCUGCUUUUGUGGGGUGCUCGAGUGGCGAACGGGUGAGUAACACGUGAGUAACCUGCCCUUGUCUUUGGGAUAACUUCAGGAAACUGGGGCGCAUACCGGAUAGGAGCUCCUGCUGCAUGGUGGGGGUUGGAAAGUUUCGGCGGUUCGGGCUGGACUCGCGGCUUAUCAGCUAGUUGGUGGGGUAGUGGCUUACCAAGGCUUUGAAGGAUAGCCGGCCUGAGAGGGUGGCCGGGGACAAUGGGCCUGCGAGACGGAGCAGUCUGCUACGGGCCGCAGUAGGGGGAAACAUUGCGCAAUGGGGGGAAGUCUGAGGUAACAGCGUCGCGUGCGGGAUGACGGCCUUCGGGGUAUAAACCGCUGUCGCCUGAGACGAAGCGGGAGUGACGGUAACGGGUAAAGAAGCACCGGCUAACUACGUG
rnacentral:rRNA from 1 species